CGGGGCGUUUCUUUGACUGAUG
rnacentral:miRNA from 1 species